ensembl:snoRNA SNORD53B small nucleolar RNA, C/D box 53B
UUGCCGUGAUGACUUCCGUUGGGUUUCGCAUGUUGCUGAGCCCCAGUGAUGCGUCCUCUCUUGGCUGUCUGAGCAG